AGCAACGCCGCGUGAAGGAAGAAGGUUUUCGGAUCGUAAACUUCUAUCCUUGGUGAAGAUAAUGACGGUAGCCAAGAAGGAAGCCCCGGCUAACUACGUGCCAGCAGCCGCGGUAAUACGUAGGGGGCAAGCGUUGUCCGGAAUGAUUGGGCGUAAAGGGCGCGUAGGCGGCCUGGUAAGUCUGGAGUGAAAGUCCUGCUUUUAAGGUGGGAAUUGCUUUGGAUACUGCUGGGCUUGAGUGCAGGAGAGGUAAGUGGAAUUCCCGGUGUAGCGGUGAAAUGCGUAGAGAUCGGGAGGAACACCAGUGGCGAAGGCGACUUACUGGACUGUAACUGACGCUGAGGCGCGAAAGUGUGGGGAGCAAACAGGAUUAGAUACCCUGGUAGUCCACACUGUAAACGAUGAAUGCUAGGUGUAGGGGGUAGUCGACCCCUUCUGUGCCGGAGUUAACACAAUAAGCAUUCCGCCUGGGGAGUACGGCCGCAAGGUUGAACUCAAAGGAAUUGACGGGGG
rnacentral:rRNA from 1 species